UACAGAGGGUGCGAGCGUUGUUCGGAAUUACUGGGCGUAAAGCGCGCGCAGGCGGCUCUUUAAGUCUACCCGUGAAAUGCCGGAGCUCAACUCCGUGCACGCCGGGGGAUACUGGAGAGCUGGAGACGAGUAGAGGCAAGCGGAAUUCCGGGUGUAGCGGUGGAAUGCGCAGAUAUCAGGAGGAACACCAACGGCGAAGGCAGCUCGCUAGGACGGUACUGACGCUAAGGCGCGAAAGCGUGGGGAGCGAACAGG
rnacentral:rRNA from 1 species